rnacentral:misc_RNA from 1 species
AGCAGCCGCGGUAAUUCCAGCUCCAAUAGCGUAUAUUAAAGUUGUUGCAGUUAAAAAGCUCGUAGUUGAAUUUCGGGAUCAAUUAAUCGGUCGUGCCUCUGGUACGCACUGGUUUUAUUGGUUUCUCCCUUCUGACGAACCAGGAUGUCAUUAAUUUGGUGUCUUGGAGAAUCAGGACUGUUACUUUGAAAAAAUUAGAGUGUUUAAAGCAGGCUAACGCUUGAAUACAUUAGCAUGGAAUAAUGAAAUAGGACGUUUGAUCCUAUUUUGUUGGUUUCUAGGAUCGACGUAAUGAUUAAUAGGGAUAGUUGGGGGCAUUAGUAUUCAAUUGUCAGAGGUGAAACUCUUGGAUUUAUUGAAGACUAACUACUGCGAAAGCAUUUGCCAAGGAUGUUUUCAUUAAUCAAGAACGAAAGUUAGGGGAUCGAAGACGAUCAGAUACCGUCGUAGUCUUAACCAUAAACUAUGCCGACUAGGGAUCGGAUGAUGUUAAUUUUUUAAUGACUCAUUCGGCGCCUUA